rnacentral:rRNA from 1 species
GACGAACGCUGGCGGCGUGCUUAACACAUGCAAGUCGAACGGAAAGGCCCUGCUUUUGUGGGGUGCUCGAGUGGCGAACGGGUGAGUAACACGUGAGUAACCUGCCCUUGACUUUGGGAUAACUUCAGGAAACUGGGGCUAAUACCGGAUAGGAGCUCCUGCUGCAUGGUGGGGGUUGGAAAGUUUCGGCGGUUGGGGAUGGACUCGCGGCUUAUCAGCUUGUUGGUGGGGUAGUGGCUUACCAAGGCUUUGACGGGUAGCCGGCCUGAGAGGGUGACCGGCCACAUUGGGACUGGGAUACGGCCCAGACUCCUACGGGAGGCAGCAGUGGGGAAUAUUGCACAAUGGGCGGAAGCCUGAUGCAGCAACGCCGCGUGCGAGAUGACGGCCUUCGGGUUGUAAACCGCUUUCGCCUGUGACGAAGCGUGAGUGACGGUAAUGGGUAAAGAAGCACCGGCUAACUACGUG